AGAGAGAGACAUGCGCGCAUAUCAAUAAGCGGAGGAAAAGGAAACUAACAAGGAUUCCCUUAGUAGCGGCGAGUGAAGCGGGAAGAGCUCAAAUUUGAAAUCUUCAAGGUUUUACCUUGACGAAUUGUAGUUUAAAGAAGUGUUUUCUGCUGAAGUUUUGGUAAAAGUUCUUUGGAAUAGGACAUCAUAGAGGGUGAGAAUCCCGUAUUUGACCAUUAUCUUCAGCUUUGUGAUACACUUUCAAAGAGUCGGAUUGUUUGGGAAUGCAGUCCAAAAUGGGUGGUAAAUUUCAUCUAAAGCUAAAUAUUGGCGAGAGACCGAUAGCGAACAAGUACCGUGAGGGAAAGAUGAAAAGAACUUUGAAAAGAGAGUUAAACAGUACGUGAAAUUGUCAAAAGGGAAGCGUUUGACACCAGUGUUGUUUUCUCGAAAAUCAAUUAAAAAUGGCUCGAUUUUGUAUUGUUGAGACCUUAAAAGCUCACUGUACAUUUUUCGUGUCUUUUUUAAUGCACUUUUCGUUUAACAAGUCAACAUCAGUUUCUUUUGUUGUAAAAGGGUCAUUGGAAGGUGGCUUUCUUUUCGGAGAAAGUGUUUAUAGCCUUUGGCCUCUGCAAUCGGAGAGACUGAGGUCUGCAGCGUAGACUCUUCGGGGUUAGAUACAUUUGUGCUAAGUUAUAGCUUUUUAUAGACAACCUUGUUGACUAUAAUUAGUCUUGUAGCUUACUCGCUUAUGCUAUUUUACCUACGCUUAGGAUGUUGAGUCGUAGAGCACGCAG
rnacentral:rRNA from 1 species